GUGUCUUAGGCUCAGGUUCCUGCUCACUAGUGGCGCCAACAUCAAGAGAGAAGAAAUCAGGGGCGGCAGAUUCAAUGGAAGAGGAAUUAACCGAUGAGAGAGAGAUUUCAUUGCGGAAGACGGAGUAAGGCUGGAGAGAAUCGGAGACAGGAGAUUGAUUGGGGGUGGGAAGAGAAAGAGGGGUUAGGGUUUCGUAGAGAGGGAUUGGAGUUUGGGUUGGGGAAUCCAUAUCCAAAGGGGCGGCAGUUGGUUCUUUGAACGAG
rnacentral:misc_RNA from 1 species